AAUAAGGUGCUUGAUUAAAAGGUUAUUUUGAUGUAAUAAAAUAUGUAACAUAGUUACCCUUAUUA
rnacentral:tRNA from 1 species